UACGUAGGGUGCAAGCGUUAAUCGGAAUUACUGGGCGUAAAGCGUGCGCAGGCGGUUAUGUAAGACAGAUGUGAAAUGCCCGGGCUUAACCUGGGAACUGCAUUUGUGACUGCAUGGCUAGAAUCUGGCAGAGGGGGGUAGAAUUCCACGUGUAGCAGUGAAAUGCGUAGAUAUGUGGACGGAAUACCGAUGGCGAAGGCAGCCCCCUGGGCUAAGAUUGACGCUCAUGCACGAAAGCGUGGGGAGCAAACAGG
rnacentral:rRNA from 1 species